UUUUUAACCACCGUGGCGGCUAGAAGUAAUGGAGAUAGAGAACGGUUUGCUGCUGACGUGCAUGGAUAAAUCUCAUGUCACGUCUUCAUACAUUGAAUUACCGGCUACUUACCUGUAGGGAUGGGACGAUUACCGGUUUCACUAUAAACCACUAUAAAAUGUACUGACGGGACGGACUGGGGCUAAAAAACAGCCCUGGACUUUCUCCCAAAUAGGCCCAUCAUCCGGCCAUUCGCCACUAGCCGCGCAACAGACGCCAGGAUGUCCUGAUAAUAUGCCACAAUACUGUAUCAGACAAGGUAU